GAAAAAAAUUAAUACUUGCCGAGAUAAUGAGUGGUGUACCCACUUGAAUCACCCGGUUUAGUUGUUUCUCAUUAUAUCAUCCUGCAAAAACUCAUAUCGCUGAGGUUUAAUAGUAAUCAGUAAUUAUUAUUCCUUUAGCAUACACUGAAGUGCACUCAAGCCGAGAAUUCUACUACACAGCCACAUUAGUUCUAGAGCCUCAGUUUCCCCGCUCGAUGUUUCGUGUUGCAGUUCCGCGUAGCAAGACGGUAAGUACACAAUAUCCCAGUGGGCUAAUUUUAAUAUCAAGUGUAAAAAAACCGCGACAUUCAAAUGGCUUGGCAUUGUUUCGCGGGCCGCGUUCUCGGCUAACCGAAUCCCGGAGCGUUCAAUUUUCACCGAUCGAAGCUGAUCCGCUGUGGGCGAGUACGUAAUUUGCGUUUGCGACGAUCGACCGGAAACGAUAAUAAUACAGGUAAUAUACAGGUACCUACCGUUGGCACUUACACCGCGAUAACGCCGGGCCGCACCGUGCACCCGUAUCGGCGAAUCAAUUAGAUAGGUAGCCG